rnacentral:rRNA from 1 species
UACCAGCACCCCGAGUGGUCGGGACGUUUAUUGGGCCUAAAGCAUCCGUAGCCGGUUCUGCAAGUCUUCCGUUAAAUCCACCUGCUUAACAGAUGGGCCGCGGAAGAUACUAUAGAGCUAGGAGGCGGGAGAGGCAAGCGGUACUCGAUGGGUAGGGGUAAAAUCCGUUGAUCCAUUGAAGACCACCAGUGGCGAAGGCGGCUUGCCAGAACGCGCUCGACGGUGAGGGAUG